CGUUUCAGUAUUUCCAGUGCCAAGUUGUGAUGACAUGGUAGAUGUGAAUGUUUUUUAUGUUGUGACUGAUCAGUGAUGUCUCCGGAUGUCUCUCCUUCUAAUGUAGUUGAUUCUUGUUAUCUCCAUUUAUCAGACUAGUAGUAGUAACACGCCUUGAGCUGACGAACUCUCACAUCUAUAACGAAGCAGUCACUCGGUUGUAGCCGGGCGACAUGUAUUGCAGGAGGAUUUGGCCUGUAUCACCAUUAACUGGAUUGUGACAGCUUCAAAAUCUAUGACGUAACCCGUCAGUUCUUCAAAGUACUAGUAGGCGGCCACCACAACAGUAGUGACAACAAAACAGCGAAGAGCAUUGCUUAGCGGAGAUGCACUUUAAGCUUAAUAUUGUCUUCAUCCUGCACUCACAAUCAUUGGAGGACUUUGUAGGAGUAUAAUGAAUCAAUAGGCAAUCUAUGGCAAAAUGUCUCAUUCCAAAUUUAGCAGUAUGUAUCGUGUUUCUCCAUGCUGGUGCAUUACACAUUGUGCAAUAACAAAAUAUCCAUAGUCCUGAUUUAAACUACUUUGCAUACGACAAAUUUCAUGUGGUUUCCAUUAUUGUUUUUAGUUAUUACAGUUCAAUUCUGUGUGAAUUACUCUUUCACUUUUGUCUAUUUGCGUAGAGGGUGAAUUGAGUUAACAUAAUAAAAUGGUCAAUAGAAGAAAUGUAUUAUAUCUUCCUUGCUAUAUUGCUCAAACAUUUUCACGUGUACGACAAUGAAGCAAAGAACGUGUGUUGAUCAGUGAAUGUAUGAAAACUUAUUUUUGCUUCUAAUACUAUGAUACUGUUGGCAAAUCAACACAACAGCUUAGUAUUUAUAAAUACUGAAAUAAUAGCACUUUCAUUGUGUGCUUUGGGAUAUUAAAGAACAUGAUCCUGUGGUACACAAUAUACAAUUACAUUUUUGUUCAUGUAUUUUUGCAUUGUUAACAUGUCUUUCCUAUCUUUAUAACAUUUAUUGGUUACAUCCUCUAUCCCUUACGUUAUCCCCAUUCUCUCGUGUCAUAGGUCAUACAUCAUUCUAUGUGCAAAUCAUGCAAGCAAUUGAGUAACUUUGUAUUUAUUAUACACUGUUAAAGGGAUAGUAG